rnacentral:rRNA from 1 species
GACGAAGGGGGCUAGCGUUGUUCGGAAUUACUGGGCGUAAAGCGCGUGUAGGCGGUUGCCAAAGUCGGGUGUGAAAGCCUUGAGCUUAACUCAAGAAAUGCACUCGAUACUUGGUGACUAGAGGACCGGAGAGGAUAGUGGAAUUCCCAGUGUAGUGGUGAAAUACGUAGAGAUUGGGAAGAACACCAGUGGCGAAGGCGGCUAUCUGGACGGUUUCUGACGCUAAGACGCGAAAGCGUGGGGAGCAAACAGG